UUAUAAAUACUAAAAAUAAUAUAUAAUAUCGUUUCAUUUAGGCAUUCAUGCUUGUAAGAAUCGUAUCUGUUGAUUUAAUCAAGAUAUAUUAUUUUAUCGUAUAUAACAAUAUUGAAUUAUCUGCCGCGUUAAAAAUGAAUAACUAUAUAUUUGUUAUAUUAAUUCUAUCAAUGGCACUUAUGACCUUUGGCGUGAAGUUAAAUCUCUUAUACUCAUGGAAAUAUAUUGAUUACCUUUGGGAGAGUCCACAGCAAAAACAGAAAGCGAUAGAUUCCGGCAAUUAUAAAGUUAAUUCGAUCGUUCUACUGGAUGUGGAUGAGGCAUCAGAUGGUAGAAUAUUUCUUACUGCGGAAAAAUUUGAAGGAGUAUCGGUGAGUAUCAUGACAAUAAGUAACGAAAAAGGAGAGGGCGGUCCGCUAUUGAAUCCAUACCCUAAUUGGGAUUGGCAUAGAAAACCAAAUUGCGAAGGUAUUACAGCAGUUUUUCGAAUAUAUAUAAAAUGCAACCACAUUUUCCUUAUGGAUUCUGGCAGAAUUGCAGAGAAACAGAUUUGCCCUCCACAAGUACUGAUUUUCGAUUUAUCGACUGACAAGCUAGUUAAAAGAAUUCAUAUCCCGUCUAACGUCUCUAAAAAUAGAAAUGGCACUAAUGGAGUUUUAACGACACUUAUUACUCACGUCUCACAUUGUAAUAACGUACAAAAUAAUGCAAUUUUAUUCAUGACUGACGAAAUGGAAAGUGGUCUAGUGGUAUAUAAUCCACAUAUUUCGAAAUUCUGCAGAAUUGAAACUGAAUUUAUGAAACCGUCUAAUGCAACUUUUACUAUAGAAAAUCUAACUUUUGAUUUGGCGAUAGGUAUUUCACAAUUGGCGGUCGUUGGUAAAGAUUUAUAUUACGCUGCAUUUUCGGGAGACAAGUUGUAUAAGAUAGAAAUUUCGAAGCUAAUAGAUUGUUCGUUAAGUGACAGAGAAGCGAGUGAAAUAACUAAACUAGCGGGUACAUUAACAGGCCAGACAGGGCCGAUAGUAUUCGAGGAAUGCGCAUUACUUUUCAGCAAUUUCCCAAAAACAUCCAUUAUGUGUGCUGAUGCCACUAAGAAUAUUGAUUUCAAUAAUAUGGAGGUCGUCGUGCAAAAUUCUGAAGAAUUACAAUGUACAAUAGGUAUGAGAGUGAUAAAUAAAUCACAUUCUAAAAGUAUAAAAAUCGUAUCAUCUCGUUGCCACCGUUUUCUUGUUACUGGUUACAAUCUAAAUGAGACAAAUUACCGCAUUCACUCGAUAAAUAUGGCGGAAAUACGGAAGGCAAAUAAAAAAUGUUUUGCUUCUUGUAAUUAAGAGAACCCAUGGUACAUAUGUUUCUAUUUCAACUUCUAACCAACAUAAUUUUAAUUUGAGAAUUUAUAUAAGUAAAUGUUCUGUUAUAUAAAAACACAGACAAAAAAAAAUAUUUGAUUCAAAUAGUUACUUAAAUAGUACUAAUAACAAAUUUUAUAAAUAAUGAA